CGGGGUGCGCAGGCGCGAAACCUUUACACGCUUGAAAGUGUGAUAGGGGGAUACUCAGUGCUUACGACUCUGUUGUAGGCUUUUGUCGAUCGUAAAUAGAUCGGCGAAUAAGUGGUGGGUAAGACCGGUGCCAGCCGCCGCGGUAACCCCGGCGCCACAAGUGGUCAUCGCGAUUAUUGGGCCUAAAGCGUUCGUAGCCGGUUUGGUAAAUCUCUUGUGAAAUUGUUCGGCUUAACCGGACAGCGUGCAGGAGACACUGCCAAUCUCGAGACCGGGAGGCGUAAGAAGUAUGUCAUGGGGACUGGUAAAAUGGGAUAAUCCAUGAUAGACUACCGAUGGCGAAGGCAUCUUACGAGAACGGAUCUGACGGUGAGGAACGAAAGCCAGGGGAGCGAACCGGAUUAGAUACCCGAGUAGUCCUGGCCGUAAACGCUGUGAGCUAGGUGCUGCGUAUCUCAUGAAGAUGCGCGGUGUCGAAAUGAAGAUGCUAAGCUCACCGCCUGGGAAGUACGGUCGCAAGACUGAAACUUUAAGGAAUUGGCGGGGGAGCAC
rnacentral:rRNA from 1 species